GUCAAAUUUGUGCUCCCUCCCUGAAGAUCAUGACGCAGCAAAUCCUGCCAGAACCCUGCUAUAUUGGGGCAGUGGGCGUGGGGCGCAAAUCAAGGACACUGAUACUGUACAUAGGCCCUAGGUUUGUAAUUCAUCAAGACUUGAGUCCAGAGAUUUUCAAACUUGCACAUCAUCAAGAUCACCUGGAGGGCUUGUUAAAACGUGGACCACUGACCCCCUCCCUUCUGAUCUCAGGGGUGGGGCCAGAGAAUUUGCAGAGCCAACAAGUUCCCAAGGCGUGCUGCUGCCGGUGGUUCCAAACACACUUGGAGAACCACUGCUGUAGCCCUGGUUUCAGGAAUUGGGAAACUUCGUCUUAAUCCUGAUGGUAAAGUGGAGAGCCUUCCUGUCUUCUCUAGAGAUAUCUGCUGCAGGCUGGUGAGCACAAGGACUGAAAGCCAAAGAGCACCAAAGAAAAUGAUCCACAACUGAACAGAGGAGGGCAACCCUUCUAGCCACAAGAAUGCUGUCCCCACUCACUAGAACUUACAGAUGGCUCAGCUCUGCCCAAGUCCUCAAGAUGCGCUCUUUCAAGAAAGAGAAGGAAAACGAUGUUUCGUCAGACUUUGUGAUUAUACAAACCAAUGGAGCAGACUUCAUUCUCCCUUUCCGGGAAGAGCUAACUUCACCUGCCUGCAGACAGUGAAAGGGCCAGUGGGGCGGGCCCGUGGCUCACCAGAGCAAAGCCUGUCAUUUGUGUGCAGGGCACUCGGUGCAGAGCAGAGAUUCGGUUCUCUCCCUGAAGAGCACCAGGGAAGCCGUCCGAAACCGAGCCCCAGCGCGCGGGGGCCCGCAGGUUGCUUUCCAAGAAAAAGACUUUAUUGACAUUCAAAGAAAAAAAAUAAGAAGCGGAGAUGAUUUAGAAAGCAUUAUGCACUGACUGAACAAACACUGCUAAAGACAUUUCAGCCAACCGUGUGUUUAAAAAGUAAUAAAUAGCUAUUGUGCUUACUUCAUAAACUUGUCAGACUGUCUUCAUUGUAUUUUCCUGAACAAACUGAAUUUCUGUACUGCUCAUCCCCAGCCAGUUAAUAAAUACAUCACCCUAAAAAGUGCUGUGGUAUUAAAUUUACAGCAGAUAAAAUAUGGAUGAAGUUACUGGGCCUCAGGUACGUCAAGUGUGAUUUAAUAUCUCGCACUCCUCCCGUGAGGAGUAAAGAUUGCCUGGCUGCUUCAGCCGCCAGAGAGCGACCCUUGCCCCUGAGUAACAACCACUCAGCAAAUAGCGCCAAAUGAAGACGGAGAAUAAC
rnacentral:lncRNA from 1 species